GAAGCCAGCAAGACAGUAUGGGUGCUUCUAAUUUGUGGUCUCCAGAGAGGAAAUUUUGUCUAAGAAUUUUUUUUUGAUAGAUCAGUUGGACAAGAACAUCCCUUCAAGUUACUAGAAGAAGAAUGGACCUUUUUGAUGUCACUGUUAUUCCAGAAAGAAUCUCUGGCAUGCUCCCCUCCAGCUAACGUCAGAAAGAAAAGGGGGCCCUUGCAAAAAUCACUCCAGCAAAAAAAAGUUAGAGACCAAGACAUGACUGCAAGCACAAAGGUGGACAUAUGCCCAAGACUUGCCAAUCAUUUUAUCCCCUGAACCUAGCCAUUAUGGUCAUCUGGUCAUAAAAUGUGUUCAAAGAUAAAUGCCU
rnacentral:lncRNA from 1 species